rnacentral:rRNA from 1 species
UGGGGAAUAUUGGACAAUGGACCGAGAGUCUGAUCCAGCAAUUCUGUGUGCACGAUGAAGUUUUUCGGAAUGUAAAGUGCUUUCAGUUGGGAAGAAAGAAAUGACGGUACCAACAGAAGAAGUGACGGCUAAAUACGUGCCAGCAGCCGCGGUAAUACGUAUGUCACGAGCGUUAUCCGGAUUUAUUGGGCGUAAAGCGCGUCUAGGUGGUUAUGUAAGUCUGAUGUGAAAAUGCAGGGCUCAACUCUGUAUUGCGUUGGAAACUGUGUAACUAGAGUACUGGAGAGGUAAGCGGAACUACAAGUAUAGAGGUGAAAUUCGUAGAUAUUUGUAGGAAUGCAGAUGGGGAGGCCAGCUUACUGGACAGAUACUGACGCUAAAGCGCGAAAGCGUGGGUAGCAAACAGG